rnacentral:rRNA from 1 species
AGAGUUUGAUCCUGGCUCAGGAUGAACGCUGGCGGCGUGCUUAACACAUGCAAGUCGAACGAACCUUCGGGUUAGUGGCGGACGGGUGAGUAACGCGUGGGAAUCUGCCCUCAGGAGGGGGAUAACGGACCGGAAACGGCCGCUAAUACCCCAUAUGCCGAGAGGUGAAAUGAAUUUCGCCUGAGGAUGAGCCCGCGUCUGAUUAGCUAGUUGGUGGGGUAAUGGCCCACCAAGGCGACGAUCAGUAGCUGGUCUGAGAGGAUGAUCAGCCACACUGGGACUGAGACACGGCCCAGACUCCUACGGGAGGCAGCAGUGGGGAAUUUUCCGCAAUGGGCGAAAGCCUGACGGAGCAACGCCGCGUGAGGGAUGAAGGCCUCUGGGCUGUAAACCUCUUUUCUCAAGGAAGAAGACAUGACGGUACUUGAGGAAUAAGCCAC